GAUGAAGAACGUAGUGAAAUGCGAUAAGUAAUGUGAAUUGCAGAAUUCAGUGAAUCAUCGAAUCUUUGAACGCACAUUGCGCCCGUCAGUAUUCUGGCGGGCAUGCCUGUUCGAGCGUCAUUACGCCCCUCAAGUCCCCUGUGGACUUGGUGUUGGGGAUCGGCGAGGCUGGUUUUCCAGCACAGCCGUCCCUUAAAUUAAUUGGCGGUCUCGCCGUGGCCCUCCUCUGCGCAGUAGUAAAACACUCGCAACAGGAGCCCGGCGCGGUCCACUGCCGUAAAACCCCCCAACUUUUUAUAGUUGACCUCGAAUCAGGUAGGACUACCCGCUGAACUUAAGCAUAUCAAUAAGGGAGGA
rnacentral:misc_RNA from 1 species